rnacentral:rRNA from 1 species
ACGGCUAACUACGUGCAGCAGCCGCGGUAAUACGUAGGGUGCGAGCGUUAAUCGGAAUUACUGGGCGUAAAGCGUGCGCAGGCGGAUUGUUAAGCAAGACGUGAAAUCCCCGGGCUUAACCUGGGAAUGGCGUUUUGAACUGGCAGUCUAGAGUGUGUCAGAGGGGGGUAGAAUUCCACGUGUAGCAGUGAAAUGCGUAGAGAUGUGGAGGAAUACCAAUGGCGAAGGCAGCCCCCUGGGAUAACACUGACGCUCAUGUACGAAAGCGUGGGUAGCAAACAGGAUUAGAUACCCUGGUAGUCCACGCCCUAAACGAUGUCAACUGGUUGUUGGGGGAGUGAAAUCCCUUAGUAACGAAGCUAACGCGUGAAGUUGACCGCCUGGGGAGUACGGUCGCAAGAUUAAAACUCAAAGGAAUUGACGGGGACCCGCACAAGCGGUGGAUGAUGUGGAUUAAUUCGAUGCAACGCGAAAAACCUUACCUACCCUUGACAUGUCCAGAAUCCUGCAGAGAUGCGGGAGUGCCCGAAAGGGAAUUGGAACACAGGUGCUGCAUGGCUGUCGUCAGCUCGUGUCGUGAGAUGUUGGGUUAAGUCCCGCAACGAGCGCAACCCUUAUCAUUAGUUGCUACGCAAGGGCACUCUAAUGAGACUGCCGGUGACAAACCGGAGGAAGGUGGGGAUGACGUCAAGUCCUCAUGGCCCUUAUGGGUAGGGCUUCACACGUCAUACAAUGGUCGGUACAGAGGGUUGCCAAGCCGCGAGGUGGAGCCAAUCCCAGAAAGCCGAUCGUAGUCCGGAUUGUUCUCUGCAACUCGAGAGCAUGAAGUCGGAAUCGCUAGUAAUCGCGGAUCAGCAUGUCGCGGUGAAUACGUUCCCGGGUCUUGUACACACCGCCCGUCACACCAUGGGAGUGGAAUCUGCCAGAAGUAGGUAGCCUAACCGCAAGGAGGGCGCUUACCACGGUGGGUUUCAUGACUGGGGUGAAGUCGUAACAAGGUAACC